rnacentral:rRNA from 1 species
UACGUAGGCAGCAAGCGUUGUUCGGAGUUACUGGGCGUAAAGGGUGUGUAGGCGGUUCCUUAAGUUUGCUGUGAAAUCUCCCGGCUUAACCGGGAGGGUGCGGUGAAUACUGAGGGACUAGAGUACGGGAGAGGAAAGUGGAAUUCCUGGUGUAGCGGUGAAAUGCGUAGAUAUCAGGAAGAACACCAAUGGCGAAGGCAGCUCUCUGGGACGGUACUGACGCUGAGACGCGAAAGCGUGGGGAGCGAACAGG